UCGGGAAUUUUGGGCAAUGGGCGAAAGCCUGACCCAGCAACGCCGCGUGAAGGAUGAAGUAUUUCGGUAUGUAAACUUCGAAAGAAUAGGAAGAAUAAAUGACGGUACUAUUUAUAAGGUCCGGCUAACUACGUGCCAGCAGCCGCGGUAAUACGUAGGGACCAAGCGUUGUUCGGAUUUACUGGGCGUAAAGGGCGCGUAGGCGGCGUGGUAAGUCAUCUGUGAAAUCUCCGGGCUUAACUCGGAACGGUCAGAUGAUACUGCUUUGCUAGAGUGCAGAAGGGGCAAUCGGAAUUCUUGGUGUAGCGGUGAAAUGCGUAGAUAUCAAGAGGAACACCUGAGGUGAAGACGGGUUGCUGGGCUGACACUGACGCUGAGGCGCGAAAGCCAGGGGAGCAAACGGGAUUAGAUACCCAUGUAGUCCCUGAGCGGGCUGGCAAGGCGCAU
rnacentral:rRNA from 1 species